rnacentral:rRNA from 1 species
CGGGUGAGUAACGCGUGGAUAACCUGCCUCACACAGGGGGAUAACAGUUAGAAAUGACUGCUAAUACCGCAUAAGCGCACGGUACCGCAUGGUACAGUGUGAAAAACUCCGGUGGUGUGAGAUGGAUCCGCGUCUGAUUAGGUAGUUGGUGAGGUAACGGCCCACCAAGCCGACGAUCAGUAGCCGACCUGAGAGGGUGACCGGCCACAUUGGGACUGAGACACGGCCCAG